AUCAGGUGACUGGGCUUAUCUGGC
rnacentral:siRNA from 1 species